UACGAAGGGGGCUAGCGUUGCUCGGAAUCACUGGGCGUAAAGGGCGCGUAGGCGGAUCUUUAAGUCGGGGGUGAAAGCCCAGGGCUCAACCCUGGAAUUGCCUUCGAUACUGGAGAUCUUGAGACCGGAAGAGGUAAGUGGAACUGCGAGUGUAGAGGUGAAAUUCGUAGAUAUUCGCAAGAACACCAGUGGCGAAGGCGGCUUACUGGUCCGGUUCUGACGCUGAGGCGCGAAAGCGUGGGUAGCAAACAGG
rnacentral:rRNA from 1 species